rnacentral:rRNA from 1 species
AACCGAGUCUUAACCGGGCGUUAAGUUGCAGGGUAUAGACCCGAAACCCGGUGAUCUAGCCAUGGGCAGGUUGAAGGUUGGGUAACACUAACUGGAGGACCGAACCGACUAAUGUUGAAAAAUUAGCGGAUGACCUGUGGCUGGGGGUGAAAGGCCAAUCAAACCGGGAGAUAGCUGGUUCUCCCCGAAAGCUAUUUAGGUAGCGCCUCGUGAAUUCAUCUCCGGGGGUAGAGCACUGUUUCGGCUAGGGGGCCAUCCCGGCUUACCAACCCGAUGCAAACUGCGAAUACCGGAGAAUGUUAUCACGGGAGACACACGGCGGGUGCUAACGUCCGUCGUGAAGAGGGAAACAACCCAGACCGCCAGCUAAGGUCCCAAAGUCAUGGUUAAGUGGGAAACGAUGUGGGAAGGCCCAGACAGCCAGGAUGUUGGCUUAGAAGCAGCCAUCAUUUAAAGAAAGCGUAAUAGCUCACUGGUCGAGUCGGCCUGCGCGGAAGAUGUAACGGGGCUAAACCAUGCACCGAAGCUGCGGCAGCGAACGUAUCACCCAAGACAACUUUACGGAGUUGACGAUUGACGGAGCGAAGCGACGUCAAAGCGUUCAUUAAAGUCGAGUUGGCUUAGGGAUACGUUCGUUGGGUAGGGGAGCGUUCUGUAAGCCUGUGAAGGUGUGUCGUGAGGCAUGCUGGAGGUAUCAGAAGUGCGAAUGCUGACAUAAGUAACGAUAAAGCGGGUGAAAAGCCCGCUCGCCGGAAGACCAAGGGUUCCUGUCCAACGUUAAUCGGGGCAGGGUGAGUCGACCCCUAAGGCGAGGCCGAAAGGCGUAGUCGAUGGGAAACGGGUUAAUAUUCCCGUACUUGGUGUUACUGCGAAGGGGGGACGGAGAAGGCUAUGUUGGCCGGGCGACGGUUGUCCCGGUUUAAGCGUGUAGGUGUGUGUUCCAGGUAAAUCCGGUUCACUUUAACACUGAGGCGUGACGACGAGGCACUACGGUGCUGAAGCAACAAAUGCCCUGCUUCCAGGAAAAGCCUCUAAGCAUCAGGUAACACGAAAUCGUACCCCAAACCGACACAGGUGGUCAGGUAGAGAAUACCAAGGCGCUUGAGAGAACUCGGGUGAAGGAACUAGGCAAAAUGGUGCCGUAACUUCGGGAGAAGGCACGCUGACACGUAGGUGAAGUGAUUUACUCAUGGAGCUGAAGUCAGUCGAAGAUACCAGCUGGCUGCAACUGUUUAUUAAAAACACAGCACUGUGCAAACACGAAAGUGGACGUAUACGGUGUGACGCCUGCCCGGUGCCGGAAGGUUAAUUGAUGGGGUCAGCGCAAGCGAAGCUCCUGAUCGAAGCCCCGGUAAACGGCGGCCGUAACUAUAACGGUCCUAAGGUAGCGAAAUUCCUUGUCGGGUAAGUUCCGACCUGCACGAAUGGCGUAAUGAUGGCCAGGCUGUCUCCACCCGAGACUCAGUGAAAUUGAACUCGCUGUGAAGAUGCAGUGUACCCGCGGCAAGACGGAAAGACCCCGUGAACCUUUACUAUAGCUUGACACUGAACAUUGAGCCUUGAUGUGUAGGAUAGGUGGGAGGCUUUGAAGUGUGGACGCCAGUCUGCAUGGAGCCGACCUUGAAAUACCACCCUUUAAUGUUUGAUGUUCUAACGUGGACCCGUAAUCCGGGUUGCGGACAGUGUCUGGUGGGUAGUUUGACUGGGGCGGUCUCCUCCUAAAGAGUAACGGAGGAGCACGAAGGUUGGCUAAUCCUGGUCGGACAUCAGGAGGUUAGUGCAAUGGCAUAAGCCAGCUUGACUGCGAGCGUGACGGCGCGAGCAGGUGCGAAAGCAGGUCAUAGUGAUCCGGUGGUUCUGAAUGGAAGGGCCAUCGCUCAACGGAUAAAAGGUACUCCGGGGAUAACAGGCUGAUACCGCCCAAGAGUUCAUAUCGACGGCGGUGUUUGGCACCUCGAUGUCGGCUCAUCACAUCCUGGGGCUGAAGUAGGUCCCAAGGGUAUGGCUGUUCGCCAUUUAAAGUGGUACGCGAGCUGGGUUUAGAACGUCGUGAGACAGUUCGGUCCCUAUCUGCCGUGGGCGCUGGAGAACUGAGGGGGGCUGCUCCUAGUACGAGAGGACCGGAGUGGACGCAUCACUGGUGUUCGGGUUGUCAUGCCAAUGGCACUGCCCGGUAGCUAAAUGCGGAAGAGAUAAGUGCUGAAAGCAUCUAAGCACGAAACUUGCCCCGAGAUGAGUUCUCCCUGAGACUUAGAGUCUCCUGAAGGAACGUUGAAGACGACGACGUUGAUAGGCCGGGUGUGUAAGCGCAGCGAUGCGUUGAGCUAACCGGUACUAAUGAACCGUGAGGCUUAACCUUACA